GCCAGGCGCAGUGGUGUGUGCCUGUAGUCCCAGCUACUCGAGAGGCUGAGGCUGGAGGAUUGCUUGAGUUCAAGAGAUCUGGGCUGUAAUGUGCUAUGCCAAUUGGGUGUCUGCACUAAGUUCAGCAUCAAUAUGAUGACCUCCUGGGAGUAGGGGACCACCAGGUUGCCUAAGGAGGGCUAAACUGGCCCAGGUCGGAAAUGGAGGAGGUCAAAACUCCUGGGCUUAUCAGUAGUGGGAUCUCGCCUGUGAAUAGCCACUGUGCUACAGCCUGAGCAAUAUAGCGAGACCUCAUCUCU
rnacentral:SRP_RNA from 1 species